rnacentral:rRNA from 1 species
GCCCUGAAUCUAGCCCCCAUUUCUACCAAAAGGCCCCCCCCCCAAAAAAAAUAUUCUACAAUUUAAGUAGAGACGAUCGAAAACCUAACAGGAGCUAUNCCNCGUACCGCAAGGGAACGAUGAAAUAAAAUGAAAUAACAAAAAGCACAAAAAAGUAGAGAUUNCCACUCGUACCUUNUGCAUCAUGGUCUAACUAGUCUAAUCAGGCAAAAAGACUUUAAGUCUGACCCCCCGAAACCGAGUGAGCUACCCCAGGGCAGCUUACUGAGCAAACCCGUCCCUGUCGCAAGAGGGUGGGAAGACCCUGAAGUAGAGGUGACAAACCUAACGAACUCGGUGAUAGCUGGUUACUCAAGAAAAGAAUUUUAGUCCAACCUAAAGUAACCCAAUAAACUCAAAUAUACCACUUUAGNGCAAUUCAAAUAAGGUACAGCCUAUUGAAAAAGAAUACAACCUACAA